AUCGAAUUGGGGAAAAGACGAGUUCACGCAGAUGGCCAGUGCAUCGGUCAGCAUGUCCUUCCUUGCCUUUGUUGCUUUUGCUUUUAGUUCACUUAUCUCUGGUUACAACCUUUGUACACGCGAUCCUGCAUGAUAUUGAAAUCUCUGGCUUGUUCGUUUUUCCUUGAAAAGAGAAAAUUUUAUAUUGAUUGUCAACCCAAAAUUAUUCUUUUCUUUAUGUUGUACAGAGAUAUCAUAGCUUAGCUUUGACCUUACAAUAA
rnacentral:misc_RNA from 1 species